rnacentral:rRNA from 1 species
AUGCCCCGAAUUAUCCGGGCUACACGCGGGCUACAAUGGUCAGGACAAUGGGUAUCGACACCGAGAGGUGGAGGCAAUCUCCUAAACCUGUCCUUAGUUCGGAUUGUGGGCUGCAACUCGCCCACAUGAAGCUGGAAUCCGUAGUAAUCGCGUUUCAAAAUAGCGCGGUGAAUAUGUCCCUGCUCCUU